rnacentral:lncRNA from 1 species
CUGGUGACGACAUAAAGGGUCUUCCUUGUGCAUAGGUUUACCAAGAAAGGCUUCACAAAGACACAGGAUGAGUCAAGAAUGAAUGAUAGGGGUUUAACAGGCCGAUGGGGAAAGUGGACAUGACUCCUCCAGCUAUCAAAUUAGACGAUGCUGCCAUGUUAAUUCUCCAAACGAGAAACAAAAGUGUAAUAGAGGAUGUGAUGCUUGCAGCUAUGACAGCCAUUUGUGACCAUGAAGGGACCAAACUAGAGGACAAAGAGCAAGUCACUAUGCAUGAAAGAGUGAAAAUGUGGAAAGGACCUUCACCAUUGAUGAUACUGUCAAGCUAUUGAAUUAAACAACCUUGGAACCACU